AGGCUGAGUGUCCAAAGAUCACUGCAUGGAUCAAGAGGUGCAUGGAAAAGGAGAGCGUGUCCAGUUCACUUCCUGAUCCUCACAAGAUCUAUGACUUCGUAUUGCUGCUUAAGCAGAAAAUGGGUAUAGAGUAGGCUGUCAGGCUUUGAAUAAUGAGUGAAGGCAUUCCUGAUAGAAUGCCGGAAGCAAGAAUGGGAAAUGGAAUGAAGUUUGGGGAUGAAAAUAGAUUGAUGUUAUGUAAUAAGUUAUAAAGUUUAGCACUUAAUGCUGAUAAUUUUUGCUGUGAUUAGAGUUUUAAUCCAUUAAUUUGGAAAGUAACUAAGUAUCUGUUUGGAAACGAGGCGGUGUAACCUAUAUUUCCAAAUGAAAAGCAUCAAUUUUAAGUGAAAAACGAAGCCUAAAUUGAGUGCAAAACUUCCAAGCAAUAUGUAGAUGGGCAGAGAUCUCGAACAGAAACAUGGAGUUACAUGUGAAAUCCAGAAAAAGCAAAAUUUAUCGAUUUUUCAUUAAACAAAAAAAAUAGAAAAGAAAAGAAAACAUCAGCUGAGCUUGACACAGUGGACAUUUUCUUAGUCACCAUACUUGUGAAUAAAAGUCGGGCCUCGCCACUAGCCAGGGGCUGCCCUUGUCCUCUUCCCCACCAAAAGUUUUCAAAUCCCUUAAAAAUCUAAAAGUUUUAGGGAGUAACUUGUACAAAAUGGCCCUCCAUAAUCACAAGUACACAUUCUAACCCUCCCAGCAUUAGAACUUUGGAUUCAUCCUUGAUACUUCUGUAUACAAGAACUAAGCUCCUCGGUUUUGGCAGCUACAUUAAGCAGUGAAGCAGCUUCGAGAUUGGGCUGUUCGAAUACAGCAUACAUAUGGUGAAGGAAAACCGGUAUGCAUAUUAACUUUAACUUGCUAAUAUCAUCUUGUUAAGAAAACAAAGUCUUCAGGACCUAAUACACUCUGAUAUUAUCAUGCACGAUUUAUUAAUUAUAUUCAGAUAAAAGUAAUCACUCUGACCCUCUCGAGAUUUGAACGUUAUUCAACUUUUCAUUUAUAGUUUCAGAAAUUACAGAGGGAAAGUGAAACUACAUUCAAGUUUUCGGAGGAGACAGUAAUUUUUCCAUAUAUAUAUUACAUGUUGAGCCACCAUCGGUGUAUAAUUAAUUAAUUAUUAAUUUGCAAGUGCAUGUCUUAAAUAUAAUUAAGGUACUGGUGUAGGUUACAGAUUAAUGAAAAUCGAAUGAUCACCAAGAGCCAUUUGAUUUCUUGCAGCUUCACAAUAUUAUUCGAUCAUAUUUUAGCCUUGUCAAAGAUGGUGUCGUCACUUUCGUAAGCAUGCAUGCUGUUUUAGAUGGUGACAGUAACACAAAUAAUAGAGAAUAUGAAGCAUACUCUAAGGUGGAAAAUGAUAAGCUUAAAAUAAAGAAUAAGCAGCUUUCUCAGGGUUCCUUUUUUCUUCUUGUUGUUUUCAUGACUCCUUAAUUUUUUUAUAUUCCAAAUUCUGAAGGUUGGAUCUAAGCAAUGAAGCCAUGCCUGAUUGUUUACUUGCUUAUCAGCACUAUACAGCUCGAGCUCAAAUUUGUCAAAAAGAUCAACCGCGGAAGAACUGGUCCUGCUUGAUUUAUGGGCAAUGCACUUAGGUACGUCUGGUUAGCAUCUCAGGAUAUAAAAAAAAUACACACAUUAAAAAUAUAUAUAUAUCUCUAAGAAAAUUUUCUAUCUUUAUUAUCUUCGUUUUCUAUGAGAUUUGGUUAAUUACAAGUAUAUAUACAGUAGGAGAUUUGGUUAAUUACGAAGCUGCUACUUCUUGCUUGUUACCUUGUUGUAAUGCAUGAAGAUAUACAGGAAAAGGCUAUGGAGUUAUAAGAGCUAGAGGAAAAAAGGUAAGCAAAAUUAAUUUAAGGCUUGAGGACCCUGGAAAAAGAGCUUGGAGAGAAGCUUGGAAUUUUUUGGUGGGGAGACCAUUGGAUAAAUAGUUAAACAAGAGGUUUUCUCCCAUUCAUAACUUUUUUGAGUUUGAUUACUUUAAUAAUUUAUUUUUUUAACAGUUUGUUUGGAAAAAAAAAUUUACUGUAAUUAAAUUUAAUUGUAGUGUUUAAUUUAAAUUUAAUUGAUAAAUAAAUUGAAUUUAUAUAUUUGAAAAAGAAGUGAAAUCAAUUCAUUUUGUUUCUUACAUUACAUUCAUUUUAUUUCUUCAAAGAUCUUUUUAAAAAAAGAUUGAUAAAUUGGUGUUUUAGAAAAGCUAGUUUUAACAUUUAUCUUCCGAAUGAAACUAAGUUCUUUGCUGCCAAAAGCGCUGUUUCUAUGAAUGAAUGUCCGUAAAGAAACUUGGAGUAAUUAGUUUGAUCAGAUGGAUAAGGCACUCGAUGAAGAGGCAAAUCAACUGGGACGUAAUUAAGCACAUGUCUGAAGUCCUUUCAAGACAUUAAAAUGCUAUUAAUUUAUACUGCUGAAUCUGGACAUCAACUCUAGAAACUCUGGUUCAACCAAGUAAUGGAAAUGCAGUCACAGAACCUUGAAGUCUUCUGUCGUCUCAAUCGGUAUACAGGAUGUUCACCUGGAAGCAUACAAUGUUAGUGCUCCAGGUAUUGCUUCUUCUUCUUCUUCUUCUUCUUCUUCUUCUUCUUCUUUCUUUUUUGUGAUCAAUUGCAACCACUGUGAUUGCAAUUUCUUACUUAGCCCUGGCACCUUGUAAAAAGUCACAUUAAUAUACAAAGAAGGAUGACUGAACUAAAUACUUUGAGCAUUUUAGAUGAAUUACCCCUGCAAUAUGAAUUAUCGUUGUUAUUACAGUAAAAUGGUAGUUUGUUGGGAACAAAUAGGUAGUCCAUAUGGAAGCAUUUCAAUUGGAGCAAUAGGGAUUGUUUAAGCUGCAUAGAAAAAUUUAUGAAUGGAAUCUGGUCUGAAAUAAAUUUUCAUCAUCUUGAAUGACUUCAAAGACUCUUUUGCUUCAGGCAUCCCAGGUUUCUUCAUACGUAAAUUUUUGCUGAAAAACAAUCCUUGUACACCACUGUAUUUACAAGAUUCUCGAUCGUUGUGCAUAUCUGUAUAAGGAUGGAUGCUACUCCCACAUUUGCAAAUAAAAACAAAAGAGCAUGCGAGUAAUGAAUGCCGUUGAGUUUUGAUUUGUUUAUGCUUUUUCUUCUUUUUUUCCAUCUUGUGAUCUUUUGUGCAUUUGGGUGAUAUAUUAAUGGUAUGUUAUCUGGAAAAGAGAACUCUACAUCUUAAUAUUCAGUAUUCUAGAAUUUGCAUCAGAUGUUUGAGAUCAAUAUUUAGGUAUAAGUGAUUACAUAAAUUUGUGGUUAAUCAGAGUUAAGCAAUGAAAGGUGUUUAAUUUUUUUGUAAGUGAUUAAACGUAUUUGAAUUUUCAUAUUAAUUGACUUUGAAGAUUCUUUUUGCUGAGAUGGGUGUGGGUGCUUCCCGUGUUUUGCAAAUAAAAAUGCUGAGGGGUUCCACUGAUUUUUAUUUAUUUAUUUUUUUGUAUUUUUUUUUUUGUUUCUGGAUAGUUUUUUUCUUUUUUUUUUUUUUGGAGUAGCUACUCAUGCUUACUAUUUAAUCACUAGAAAUGAGUAAAAAAAUCAAAAAACCGAUUAAACCGAGAAAACCAGAAAAAAAAACAACCGAAACCGAACUGAACCCAAACCGGAAAAAAACCCGAGUCAAACCAGAAAAAAACCGAGUCAAACCGAUUUGAACCGGUUUUUGUCCUAAAAAACCGAACCGAAACCGGUCGGUUUGAACCGGUUUCGGUUUUUUAAAAAAAAAAAUUGGUUUGGUUAUUUUUUUUUUAUAAAAACCGAACCGAACCGAACCGAAAAUAAUCACUAUAAAUUUUUUCGAUUAUACAGUUUUUCUUUGUUGAAUAUAUGAAUGGUAUGUUUUCAAGAAGAAAACUUUGUAUCUCGAAGUUUUUUAUUGUACAAAUGAGUUAAACUUGUUGUGAUUGACAACUAGGGAGGUGGGAUUUGAAAGAGUAGUUUUGAUACAUUCUUGAUCUGCAUAGGAUGAUUGAUAUCAUGUUUGCGAGGGGAUAUAGGAUGGCCCUUUAUGAUCGUUUUAUGUUUGAAGCUGAGGGAUUGAUAUGCUGGCAGUAAUGCUAAAACAUCCAAUGCCAAAUGCUUGAUGCUUGAUGCUUCUGAAAUUGAGAGUUGAAUUCUUUGUGAUUAUUUUGAAGUAGGGGGUGCUUAGGCAGUAGAACUUGGGAUGUGUGAUAGAAUUCAUACAACUUUGUCAAGCACGAAAACUGACAUUGAUCUGGUGAUUUGUUCCUGUGGGACAAUUGUUGUAUGAUGUUUCUUUGCAUGACCAUGAGUUGAUGAACUUGAAGUGCCUUUAAGGAAUCAUACUACUAUUUGUUCUUAUGUAUUUUGCUUCUCUCUAUUUAUUCUUCUAAUUGAGAAAUCAAUUCUGUUUCUUAUGGAUAAACAUUUUACAUUUAUGGCUGGCAAGAUUAGAUCCAUCUGUUGGAAGAGGAGAAAUGAGAGAAGAAAAUGCAAAAUCAGUCAUCAAUGAAGAUGAGAGCACGAAAGAGCAUUUUAUGCAAGAAGGCAACAGAAUUUCCAUGUGUCCUCCCACUCCGACACCUGCCAAAUAGUGAAAAGAAGAGGUGUAAAGCAAAGAUAAAUGGAUGUUGCAGAGAAGGAUUGGUAGAUGAAGCACACAGAGUUUUCAGAACUUCCUGCAUUAAUAGAUCAUGAAUGUGGCUGUUCCUCUACCGUGGGCUUACUUAGAUGCUUCCCAUUCGUGGGGUUUUGUUUUACAAUUGUAUUUGAUUUUCCAGAGAGGUUAUAUUACCUAAAUUUUAUAUUACUCAAAGAUGAUAGAAAAAUUCUCUUCUUUAUACUCGUUUCAUAAAUAUUAGUAGUUACGCCUGAGCUUCGGAAAGCCGAAACACACUUCCAAACACAGUCCACGUUCAUCACCAAGCAUAACCUUAGGCCUAGUAGUUGAAUGCAUACCAUGCUUCCUCUUUUUUCUCCUAAGAAAUUAAAACCCAAAGAAGAAAAAAUCAUUCUUCUAUAAUCUUAUGACUUAUCCUGGUCAAAGAUGGUGGGCAUGCUACGUGUUACUUCAGAUGGAAUCUAGUCUGAAAAGAAUAUUAAUGGAUUUGGAGAGGAUAAGGUUAAAAAAAGGACUGGUGAUCUUGACUAUCACAUUUGAACUUGGCAGGCAAGAAAGCAACUUAGAACAUGCCACGAUACCAUGAAUAAUUAGCAUACACACAUGUAACUAGACCUAAGCAAUGACAUCAUAUGGUGCUGAUCAUCAUCUUUGAUUACACUGUCAAUCAGCAGUUAUAAAUAGGUGCUACUACCCCAUUUCCUUAUUCACCACAACAGCUCAAGAAAGAGAGAUCGGUUGAGCUAGGAAAAGAUCAUCGCUUUAUUUGGAGAUGGAGGACAGAGUGACUCUAUUGGAUUUCUGGCCAAGUCCAUGGGCAGUGAGAGUGAAGGUUGCCUUGGCAGAGAAGGGCAUAGAAUACGAGUCCAGGGAACAGAACUUGAUAGACAAGAGCUCUCUGCUUCUUGAAAUGAACCCGGUUCAUAAGAUGAUUCCUGUUCUUAUUCACAAUGGGAAGCCCAUUUGUGAGUCACUUAAUAUUGUCCAAUAUAUUGAUGAGGUGUGGAAGGACAAGUCUCCAUUGCUACCCUCGGAUCCUUACCAAAGAUCCCAAGCCAGAUUCUGGGCUGAUUACAUUGACAAGAAGGCGAGUAUUUCAGUACUUGUUUAAUUCGUUUUUUGUUUUUCUUGUGUGUGUGUGCUUAUUGUUUAUUUGAACGCAGAUAUAUAACAAUGCCAAGAAGUUAUGGAAGGAGAAAGGAGAAGAGCAAGAAGAGGUAAAGAGGGAAUUUAUAGAAGGCUUGAAGACUCUUGAAGGAGAGCUUGGAGAUAAGCUUUACUUUGGUGGUGAAAGCUUUGGAUUUGUGGAUGUAGUGCUUGUUCCUGUUACCAGCUGGUUCUACUCUCUUGAGAUUUGUGGGAAAUUUAGCAUUGAGGCUGAGUGUCCAAGGUUCACUGCAUGGAUCAAGAGGUGCAUGGAGAAGGAGAGCGUGUCCAGUUCACUUUCGGAAGCAAGAAUGGGAAAUGGAAUGAAGUUUGGGGAUGAAAAUAGAAUGAUGUUAUGUAAUAAGUUAUAAAGUUUAGCACUUAAUGCUGAUAAUUUUUGCUGUGAUUAGAGUUUUAAUCCAUUAAUUUGGAAAGUAACUAAGUAUCUGUUUGGAAACGAGGCGGUGUAACCUAUAUUUCCAAAUGAAAA
rnacentral:lncRNA from 1 species